CCCUGCUGUAAAUUGCGAUACUGCCAAUGAUCAAUAUUAAAACCCCUCGCGAUUUUCUUUUGUUUCAUAGUCCUGCUUAUUUCAUCUUCACCCUGCAAAUCAUUAUCCAGAAAAAAAGGUUGUGUAAUUGAUUAAUGUUGGAUUGCUUUUACUGACCGUGAAAUCAUAUCAUGCAAGCAGUAUUGUUAUGCUAACUCCUUUGGUAUUCAAACAUUGUUUACAGAAAUCGUUAGUUCCAAAAUGUUUUAGCUUAUGCAAUGGUGCUACUUAAUUAAGUAAUAACUAUUUCUUCAGAACACGUAGAUAAAAAUUCCUGCUAG